rnacentral:rRNA from 1 species
UAGGGAAUCUUCCACAAUGGACGCAAGUCUGAUGGAGCAACGCCGCGUGAGUGAAGAAGGUUUUCGGACCGUAAAGCUCUGUUGUUGGUGAAGAAGGAUAGAGGUAGUAACUGGCCUUUAUUUGACGGUAAUCAACCAGAAAGUCACGGCUAACUACGUGCCAGCAGCCGCGGUAAUCGUAGGUGGCAAGCGUUGUCCGGAUUUAUUGGGCGUAAAGCGAGCGCAGGCGGAAGAAUAAGUCUGAUGUGAAAGCCCUCGGCUUAACCGAGGAAUUGCAUCGGAAACUGUUUUCUUGAGUGCAGAAGAGGAGAGUAGAACUCCAUGUGUAGCGGUGGAAUGCGUAGAUAUAUGGAAGAAUACCAGUGGCGAAGGCGGCUCUCUGGUCUGCAACUGACGCUGAGGCUCGAAAGCAUGGUAGCGAACAGGAUUAGAUACCCUGGUAGUCCAUGCCGUAAACGAUGAGUGCUAAGUG